rnacentral:rRNA from 1 species
CGGGACACGUGGUAUCCUGUCUGAAUAUGGGGGGACCAUCCUCCAAGGCUAAAUACUCCUGACUGACCGAUAGUGAACCAGUACCGUGAGGGAAAGGCGAAAAGAACCCCGGCGAGGGGAGUGAAAAAGAACCUGAAACCGUGUACGUACAAGCAGUGGGAGCCUCUUAAUGGGGUGACUGCGUACCUUUUGUAUAAUGGGUCAGCGACUUAUAUUCUGUAGCAAGGUUAACCGAAUAGGGGAGCCGAAGGGAAACCGAGUCUUAACUGGGCGUUAAGUUGCAGGGUAUAGACCCGAAACCCGGUGAUCUAGCCAUGGGCAGGUUGAAGGUUGGGUAACACUAACUGGAGGACCGAACCGACUAAUGUUGAAAAAUUAGCGGAUGACUUGUGGCUGGGGGUGAAAGGCCAAUCAAACCGGGAGAUAGCUGGUUCUCCCCGAAAGCUAUUUAGGUAGCGCCUCGUGAAUUCAUCUCCGGGGGUAGAGCACUGUUUCGGCAAGGGGGUCAUCCCGACUUACCAACCCGAUGCAAACUGCGAAUACCGGAGAAUGUUAUCACGGGAGACACACGGCGGGUGCUAACGUCCGUCGUGAAGAGGGAAACAACCCAGACCGCCAGCUAAGGUCCCAAAGUCAUGGUUAAGUGGGAAACGAUGUGGGAAGGCCCAGACAGCCAGGAUGUUGGCUUAGAAGCAGCCAUCAUUUAAAGAAAGCGUAAUAGCUCACUGGUCGAGUCGGCCUGCGCGGAAGAUGUAACGGGGCUAAACCAUGCACCGAAGCUGCGGCAGCGACGCUUAUG